rnacentral:lncRNA from 1 species
AGCCACCGCAAGGUACCAGAGAGCCGCCCAAUCUGCGCUGGCCUCCUUUAUCUGUUUGCUGUGUGACCCUCAGGACAGCUCUGUGGGACCUGGAGGAAACUGUGAGCCCUACAGAUAAAGUCUGUGCUUCCAGCGUCGGUAAAUCCCAGCAAGCGCCACUACCUGGAGUCUGACACUUUCCCAUCUUGGCAGAGUCAGCUCCCUACAGAGGUGCUUCUCCCACUGCCCAAGAUCCCUGCCUCCUCCUUAAACCCCAACUGAUAGAACAGAAACCACCACCUAAGGAACGUGAAGGGGAAGCAUCUGAAACACCAGAAGAUCUUGGAUUGUUCCUGAGGACUUCAGAAUCUACAGGGACAAAAGGCAGAAGCAGGAAGUCCGAAGUAAAGAUGACUAAGAAAAGGCGAGUGGAAAAGAUUUCUGUGAAAGUGUCAGAGGCAAAGCUCUGAAAGACCUGAAACUCAUGCCGAAAGCAAAGCACAGCAAAAAGACAGUAGGGAUGUGUCUGGAGCAACAAGGAUCGGGCUGUUCCUGGGGCAGCAGAAUUCACAGCUCUGUUUUACUCCUAAUGGAGGAUCUUCCUGCUGCAGCGGCGAGUAGACCCUACUGUAAAGGUGCAGGCAAGGGGAGGGGAAGGGCAGGCAGCUGCCCAUUGGAGUUCACAUCUCCAAGGCCUGAGAAAAUGUGUUCCUGGAUGCCCCAAGCCAAUGGAAAAGCAGAAUCAUUGACUAUGUUUGACUCCUUCUGGUACCUAGCACAGUAUCUGGGACACAGCAGGUGCUAUGUAAAUGUGUUGAGUGAAUGAAUGAAUGAAUGCAAUUGAGGAGAAUGAAUAACCCCAGAAAACUAGACAUGGGUAGAUGUUGUCCUAAUUUCAAAAGAGGGGAAAGUGAGAGUUUCAUAAAUGACAAUCUCUAAACGAUGUUGCUCUCUAGCAGAAUUCUAGAAUGGAUUAUUUUAAGAACAAAGCAGGUAAACAUUGGCAGCCAACUUGAAAUUAAUAAGAAAAAGGUGUGCGCCAGAAUAGUUUUAUUUCUUUUUGUUUUUCAUUGUACAGCUUGAUUUGACUAAGUUGUUUAUACCUUUCACUCUGCCUUUGCAUGCACUGGGGGUGAUCUAGUCUACUAUGUGGACUGGAAGUCCACCCAGUGGCCAGGCUCAGAGGCAGGGAAGGGGGGUUGGUGCCAUUCUGGGAGAGGAGGUUUCUGGGGCUGUUUCUCAGCCAGAUCCUGUCUCAUCUGUUUCCAACAACCCCACAAAUGAAGACACUGAAGCUGACUAAUCAAACUGACUGAUGCCCCAAUAGAUGUCAUGAUAUGCAGUGAGAAUCCGGCAGGCACUAGAGAUGAACAGCACGGGCUGCAGCCACAUUAUCUCAGCUUGAGUUCUAGUUUUCACCAGCUACUAGCUAGCUAUCUGUGGUCAAGUCGCUUACCUUGCUUGAGCCUCAGUUUCUCCAUCUAGAAAAUGGUCAUAAUCGAAGUAUCUAUCUUAUAGGGUGUUGGGAAGAUUAACUGAGAAGCCACAUAGAGUUUACUGGCACAUUAAAAAAAAAAAAACUAUAAGAAUGUUAGCUGUCCUUUUGCACGGCAAAAGGAACAGUAAGCAGAGUAAACAGACAACCCACAGAGUGGGAGAAAAUCUUCCCAAUCUAUACAUCCGACAAAGGACUAAUAUCCAGAAUCUACGAGGAACUCAAAUUAGCAAGAAAAAAACAAUCCCAUCAAAAACUGGCCUAAGGACAUGAAUAGACAAUUCUCAAAAGAAGAUAUACAAAUGGCCAACAAACAUAUGAAAAAGUGCUCAAUAUCACUAAUGAUCAGGGAAAUGCAAAUCAAAACCACAAUGCAAUACCACAUUACUCCUGCAAGAAUGGCCAUAAUAAAAAAAAAUCAAAAAAUAA